UGCAUCUGAUGUGGAAGUUUUGUAUCGUCCGUAUUUUGCUGCUGGUUGGUUGUCUGGUUCCUCGCGUGGACCGACUCCUUCUGUUCUUCCUACACCUGUUGUUAGUCGUGUUGAUGCUGUUUGGAAUCGUCGGAAGCGAAGGAUUCUUCAAGAUUAUUACACUGG